GGAGAGGUGGCCGAGUGGCUGAAGGCGGCGGUUUGCUAAACCGUUGUGCGGUCAAAAGCUGCACCCAGGGUUCGAAUCCCUGCCUCUCCGCCA
rnacentral:tRNA from 1 species